GGUUGACCUCGGAUCAGGUAGGGAUACCCGCUGAACUUAAGCAUAUCAAUAAGCGGAGGAAAAGAAACCAACCGGGAUUGCCUCAGUAACGGCGAGUGAAGCGGCAAAAGCUCAAAUUUGAAAGCUGGCUCCUUCGGGGUCCGCAUUGUAAUUUGCAGAGGAUGCUUCGGGUGCAGCCCCCGUCUAAGUGCCCUGGAACGGGCCGUCAUAGAGGGUGAGAAUCCCGUAU
rnacentral:rRNA from 1 species